rnacentral:rRNA from 1 species
AUUUACCACCAUCCUACUCUGACUACACCCAGUCUAGUCUGACAUUGGGAACUAAGCAAGGUCACGCCUGGUUAGUAUUUGGGUGGGAAACGACCUGGGAAUGCUAGAGAUC